AGGGUCUGCAGGAUGGACCCGGCAGCUGGUGCCCUGUGUGAGGAACGCUGCAACGGACUGCGACAGAACCCUCGAAAACGAAGGUGAAGAGACUGUGCAGUCAUGUGACAGACACAUCAAACCAUACCAUGGCGUGGCUAAGACCCAAGCUGGUAUCAAAAAUAAAGGAAACGACGCUGCAGGACCCGCAGCCCCAGACGAUGUGGCUUCCUCCGAUGACACAGGCCCCAGACAUUACCUGGGGGAAGCUGAAGAAGACAACUCAGGAGGCCGAGUGAAUCCUUCUCUGGACACAGACACCAUCACUCCAGAUAAUCUGUUCCUUGCUAUGCUCUCUAUUGUACCUUGCAACUCUCAUAGGGAUGCAAAGCCGGAACACGAGCUGUAACCGCUGCGCCUGUCAAAUCUGUCACUGCACACAUCUGUACUAUUCAAUCAACAAAACCCGAUGCUAAAAACAGAAAAGGGGGAGACGCGGGAGAUCGGUCAGAGUGGUAGGAGAAGGUAUAGGGAAAGGAACAGACCUUCUGAAAGGCGGGAAGGCUCUGGAUAGCUUCAGGGAUGAAUAAGCUGAAGGCAGCUGUUCUCUUACCCUGAGGCAGAGGGCAAGGGGUAGGUAAGGAAGUAUAGGGGAAUUUGGCAUAAACAGGCUUGUUUACUUACAUUGUCCGGAAACCGACUUUGAUCAUCAGGGCAGGAGACUGCUCCCUGAAAGGGGGAAUAAUAAUGUUAAUUACCCACAGAUUGUGUUGGCUCCAGG
rnacentral:lncRNA from 1 species